GGGCAAGAGCCAAUGACCGUGUAGAAGCGACGGUAAGCGUGAGAAAGCCAACACCAGCGGAGUCUUUUGUCAAGUCUCAGCGGGAGCCUGAUAAUUGGGGUUAUUGAAAAUUCAUUGGAGAAUGAGUGCUGUUCCGAAUUUGCUAGUGAUGCGGAGAAAGCUGUAGCAUCCAUUUUGUACCUCAAGAUGGAAGUCGUGUGUUAAAGAUGGCAGAGCAAGAAGAUACAAGGAGCCUGGGUUGCUGACACCAUUGAACCAAUGUACCAGCCCUGGAUUUUUCUGAUGCAGCUGCUGGUGGAGGGAGACAGAGGCUCCUGGCAUCUCCCUAAGAGGAUUGGCAACCACUGAAUAACAAUGAACUCAAUUCUACAUCAGAAACACAGAGAGAAGAUGUAAAGAGACAAAAAAAAGAGGAAAGCAAAAAGCAAAACACACGAAGACUGUGGGGCAGAGUGCUGUAGAUCACAGUUGUAAUUCAACAGGUCAAAUAUAGGGGCUCUUCAAUAUCCAUCCAUUUAAGACCCUGAGAAUAAACCCAGCCUUCAAAAAAACCAUAGAGAGAGAGAACCCAAGAUGGCAGAAUGAGUAGGGCAGCAGAAAUCUCCUCCCACAACCAUACGUAUUUUUGAAAAUAAACCAAAUAUAACUAAUCCUAAAAGAGAGACCAGA